GGAGUCGGCCAGACAGUCGCGUCAUCGCAGCGGAGCAAUCCGUUGCGGUGCCGAGGAAAGUCCGGGCUCCACAGGGCACGGUGCCAGGUAACGCCUGGGCGGCGCGAGCCGACGGAAAGUGCAACAGAGAGCAGACCGCCGAACGGUCGGGUGUUCGCAAGAAUGCGCGAUGCGUGGCAAGGGUGAAACGGUGCGGUAAGAGCGCACCGCGAGUCUGGCAACAGACCGGCAUGGCAAACCCCACCGGGAGCAAGACCAAAUAGGGACUCAUGGCGCGGCCCGCGUCGGGUCCGGGUAGGUUGCUUGAGCGUAUCGGCGACGAUGCGCCUAGAGGAAUGACUGUCCACGACAGAACCCGGCUUAUCGGCCGGCUCCGCCA
rfam:Lysobacter sp. A03 NODE_19, whole genome shotgun sequence.